GGAAGCGUGCCCGAGCUUUAAGGACUACUUUGAUAGAGUAUAUAACAGGGGUUAAAUCCCCCUCACUUCCC
rnacentral:tRNA from 1 species